rnacentral:rRNA from 1 species
AUUGAACGCUGGCGGUAGGCUUAACACAUGCAAGUCGUGCGAGAAAGUAUCUUCGGAUAUGAGUAGAGCGGCGGACGGGUGAGUAACGCGUAGGAAUCUACCUAGUAGAAGGGGAUAGCCCGGGGAAACUCGGAUUAAUACCGUAUACCUCCUUCGGGAGAAAGAAGGCCUCUCUUUGAAGCUUUCGCUAUUAGAUGAGCCUGCGUAAGAUUAGCUUGUUGGUGAGGUAAAGGCUCACCAAGGCGACGAUCUUUAGCGGGUCUGAGAGGACGAUCCGCCACAUUGGGACUGAGACACGGCCCAGACUCCUACGGGAGGCAGCAGUGGGGAAUAUUGGACAAUGGGCGCAAGCCUGAUCCAGCCAUACCGCGUGUGUGAAGAAGGCCCUAGGGUUGUAAAGCACUUUAAGUUGGGAAGAAAAGUUAUUGGUUAAUACCCAAUAACCGUGACAUUACCAUCAGAAUAAGGACCGGCUAAUUCCGUGCCAGCAGCCGCGGUAAUACGGAAGGUCCAAGCGUUAAUCGGAAUUACUGGACGUAAAGCGCGCGUAGGUGGUUUAUUAAGUUGGAUGUGAAAUCCCCGGGCUCAACCUGGGAACUGCAUCCAAAACUGAUUCACUAGAGUACGAUAGAGGGAGGUAGAAUUCACAGUGUAGCGGUGGAAUGCGUAGAUAUUGUGAAGAAUACCAAUGGCGAAGGCAGCCUCCUGGAUCUGUACUGACACUGAGGUGCGAAAGCGUGGGUAGCGAACAGGAUUAGAUACCCUGGUAGUCCACGCCGUAAACGAUGUCAACUAGCUGUUGGAAAACUAUGUUUUUCAGUGGCGCAGCUAACGUAGUAAGUUGACCGCCUGGGGAGUACGGCCGCAAGGCUAAAACUCAAAUGAAUUGACGGGGACCCGCACAAGCGGUGGAGCAUGUGGUUUAAUUCGAUGCAACGCGAAAAACCUUACCUAUACUUGACAUACUUGGAAUGCUUUGUAAUGAAGCAGUGCCUUCGGGAGCCAAGAUACAGGUGCUGCAUGGCUGUCGUCAGCUCGUGUCGUGAGAUGUUCCGUUAAGUCGGAUAACGAGCGCAACCCUUACCCUUAUUUGCCAGCGAUUCGGUCGGGAACUAUAAGGGGACUGCCGGUGAUAAACCGGAGGAAGGUGAGGACGACGUCAAGUCAUCAUGGCCCUUACGUAUAGGGCUACACACGUGCUACAAUGGAGAAUACAGACGGACGCUAAGCCGCGAGGUGGUGCUAAUCCUAGAAAAUUCUUCGUAGUCCGGAUUGGAGUCUGCAACUCGACUCCAUGAAGUCGGAAUCGCUAGUAAUCGCGAAUCAGCAUGUCGCGGUGAAUACGUUCUCGGGUCU